UACAGAGGGGGCAAGCGUUUGUUCGGAAUUACUGGGCGUAAAGGGCGCGUAGGCGGCCUGUUAAGUCGAACGUGAAAUCCCCGGGCUCAACCCGGGAACUGCGUCCGAUACUGGCAGGCUUGAAUCCGGGAGAGGGAUGCGGAAUUCCAGGUGUAGCGGUGAAAUGCGUAGAUAUCCGGAGGAACACCGGUGGCGAAGGCGGCCCCUGGCCGA
rnacentral:rRNA from 1 species